GUAGGGAAUAUUGGGCAAUGGAGGCAACUCUGACCCAGCCAUGCCGCGUGCAGGAAGACGGUCCUCUGGAUUGUAAACUGCUUUUGAAUGGGAAGAAACGCACUUUUGCGAAAGUGUUUGACGGUACUAUUAGAAUAAGCACCGGCUAACUCCGUGCCAGCAGCCGCGGUAAUACGGAGGGUGCAAGCGUUAUCCGGAUUUAUUGGGUUUAAAGGGUGCGUAGGCGGCUUGAUAAGUCUGGGGUUAAAGGCGGCAGCUUAACUGUACGCAUGCCCUAGAUACUGUUGAGCUUGAGUGACCUGGAGGUAGCUGGAAUUCCCUGUGUAGCGGUGAAAUGCAUAGAUACGGGGAGGAAUACCGAUUGCGAAGGCAGGUGGCUGUACCUUAAUCGACGCUGAUGCACGAAAGCAUGGGGAGCAAACAGGAUUAGAUACCCGAGUAGUCC
rnacentral:rRNA from 1 species